AUAUAUAUAUAUACAAUAGUAUUAGUAAGUAGUAACUAAGGAGAGAAACGUUAACGUAUAGAAAAGAUAAGAAAAUAUGAGGAAAGUGAACAGCUGCUGAAACGAUCGGUGCCACGGGCAAUUUCGACUCGGUGUCGCGUAUAACGUUCAUAGGAGGAAGGAUCAAGAAGGAAAUCGACAACACGGCGGAACUCUUUCUUCCAUGGAAAACGAUAUCCACGGAAUUGGAAGGAAUGGCAUUGCCUAAGGUGAGUACCGCUUUCGAAAGAAUCGACCGUUCGAGUACAAUACCCGAUCGUAGAUGGGAUAAUAAAAGAGGAUCAGUUGGCCGCAAGAUCGAUAUAUACCUUAGUCGACGAGUGGUGGCAAAGCUUAUACAUUCUUUUUACCUACUUUGUAUCGUUAGCUUUAUUUCGGUUAACCGAUAGAGAAUUAAGGUAAAUCUUUUUCCUUCUAUAGCUUGAGAAUCGUCGGAACAGUGUCUCGUUGAAAAUAAUUUAUCGAUUAUACAAUUUUUCUUACUUAUAAAACUUAUUUUAUCUUAGAUAAUAAAUCGAUCGAUCGAUAAACCAAUUAAUUAUGUACAUCGAAAACCUUACAUAUCAUAAUGGUUAAUAAUGACGAAUCCGUUCGCAAUGAAUACUACUAGUACGGUGGUGUAACCGAUGGAUCGACUUCCUAUUAAUAAAUUCGCUUCCCAUGCGACGUCCUAUGAAUCAUUCCAUAGGCAACGGGGGAAAUUCUAUUAGUCCGAUUGGUUUACGCCUCCGUGCUAUGGUCCCAAUCGAUUCGUCUUCGUUCUUGGGGACAACUGGUACAGCAGAUAUGCAACCACCCUUCGAUUAUAUUUUGUUCGACCGAACGACGGCACGUUAUGCCAAUGAUAAUAAACGCACGAGGCAGAAAAUCGCUAGUUCGAACGAACUGCUAUCGCUAAAUUGUAUCAACCUUUCUAAUUGGAAUGCUUUUUAUAAAUCGAAUCAUAGUGAUUUGUUAGAGAACCGAAUAAAUGUGAGUAAUACGUACAUAUCUGAAAUACGAGAGAUCGUUGUUUCUCGUUUCUACGGAGAAUAUAAAUAAUGUGUCUUAUCGCUACGAAGGCUUGGAAAGGACUGACAAUAAGUUCGACAUUGGAAGGAUCUGCUAAAUGAUAACGCUGUACCGAGAGAGAGAGAAGGUAAACAUUAUAAACAAAUAAUAUACCUUAGCCGAUUAUAUACAUAUUCUCAAAGAAUACGUUAACAUCUCAAGGACAGUGAAUAAUACCCGAUCGUAUCAAUGUUAAUAAUCGAUUUCUUCUAGAAAUAUUUUUCAAUACAUACAUAUGUAUGUUUCCUUGUAUCCUCGAACUAUCAAACGCAGAUUGUAAUAAACGUGGUAUGGACAGGUCAAUUAGCAACGUAUAGAUGCAAAAUUCUCAUUCAUUAUCUUACAUAAUCUAUAUCUCCGAACAAGUAGACGCAUUAGGAGAGAGUGAGCGAGCGAGCGAGAGAGAGAGAGAGGGAGAGAGAGAGAGAAAGAGAGAGCUAAUUGCAAGGUUCCUAUUAGGAGAACUAUCUGCUUACUAAUCUGGUCACUUAGAACGCGAUCGAUAGAGAUCGUUGUGAUUGUAAGACGAGAGAGAGAGAGAGAGAGAGAGAGAGAGAACUAUGAAAGUCAGAGAAGAUAACAAAAAUUAGUUUGACUCAAAUUGGCCAAAAGGGUUGCACUUAAUUUACAUAGAGAUUUCUUCGAAGAUCUCGAGCAGCUCGAAAUCCAGCAAUUCGACUCGGUUUAAUCCUACGGCCGUCGACAUUAAUGCCGGAAGUAUUUAGUCGUCGAUGAGGCAGAAUGAGCCCCUCGCUCAAGAAGGGUGGAAUCUACAGGUCUCGGCAAAGCUGUAAUUCUCAUAACUUGAAAAUCAGAAGGCUCUCGUACUCGCGAACGGGUGCGUAACCCCGUGGCUCUGAGUUAACAACGUUCCACAAGAGAAUACGAAGAAGAGAAAAGGAGGGAGGACCAUAGCGUAACCACACAUCGGCACGAAGAGAUUAAACGUUAAAAGGCACGUUGCGCCUGUCAGAAAUCGGACUCGAUCCUCAAACACUCCUCGGUGCACCCCUCGGUUCUAAAAAUUACACACGAAUCUAAACGGAUAUUGUCAAAACAUACGAUAUAUCUUUUAUUGUACCUAUUAAGAUUACCCUCUCAAAAGACUUUGGAAUCUUAUUCAUUAGUUUCUUGAAUCAUUACGAUUCUCUAUUUUCUAUAAUUUGGAAAGUACUCCCUCUAUCCAUUUCUAUCUCUCUUAAAGCAUAGCCAAAGGAUGAUCGAAGUAAAGGAACGUACGUUCGGAUAUCCAUUCGUUACACGUCCAGAGAACGUAUUUCUCGUGGUAGAUCGAAGGAAAAGGAGAAAUUACCUCUAGCGUAGAUUCAAGGGAAAUUCUCCUUUCCGUAUGUUUCAUACCUACGUCGAAUUUAAAUGAAAGCAUAGCGUGACGUGCUGUGUGGCAUGGCGUGACAUGGCGUGGAAAUAAGCUGGUAGAAGUAAAAACCCUAUUUACUCGUCCAACGGAGAAUUUCCCUCAGCUCACCUACAACCUAGUAUAUAUCUUCUCUCCAGACCUUCUCGUUCCUGGAUCCUCUCCAAUUAAGGAUAGAAGUCAAAGUUAGGAAGAUUAGUUGAGUGAUGUCUCGUCCGGCAAAGAGUAUCCACUUGCGUUCCCUUUGUCUGUUGGAAAACCGAUUUCUCGUUCCAUUAAUGAACGUCUUUGCUCCCUCAUUCGUUAACUCGCUCACUUGCUCGAUCUCAACGGCGUACGAUGUAAAUGGAAACGUGAGGACAUUGAAAUGAAAUUUACGCGAUACCGUGCUACGUCCGGAUGCAUGGUCCUUAAUCCAAAAUUACAUCAAAUUGAAAUUAAACGAAAAUCCCUUCUUAAGUAUAUCGAAAAUUAAUUUUAUAUCAAACGUAAGAUAACAUAAUGCAUACGUUUGCAUCAUAGAGAACUAUAUAUAUAUAAGUAUAUUUGUGGAUAACGUCAGUUACGUUAAGAAAAAUUAUCUUUCAUCUUUAUAUCGGGAUCGUUAAAUAUAAUUAUCCUAUGGUUAGGUCGUACUUACACGGACACGAAAUAUAUCCGAGAAAGAGAAAGAGAGAGAGAGAGAGAGAGAGAGAAAACGAUGCGAUGUAAUUCGAAUUUACUGUUAGAAUCUCUUUCUUGUCAUUAAUUCCCGUUAGCAACGUUUGUCUCGGGCGCGUGUAACCCUGCUUAACCCUGUACAACAUAAUGGAUCAUACUUGGCAGCACAUACCGGUUUUCCUUUAUCCUUUUCAUUUCUCCAUUCGCCUUUUAUCUGCGGCCCACGACACAUGACGUUGUAGUAUGUAGGUAUGGCGUAUGUACCUGUUGGUCCUACUACCAGGUUACCGAGUGCGUUCUGUCCUCUGAAAUGAAACGCAUGCAUGAUUUAAGCGAAGUUUAUAACGAGCUCCUAAUGGGAAAGCAAUUUGUUGCUAAAGUAUGUUUCUUUUAGCAUAUACGGCCUCUGUUUUCUGCCGAUCGUAAAUCAUAAGUAAUGAUAUCUAAAAGGACGAUGACUAUGAGGAUGAGAUCUUAUCGGAGGAAGUCGAAGGGGCUAAAGAACCUAAAAAUAUUCGAUAUCGUAAGACGUAAUUUAUUCAUAUGCGAAACAAAAGUCAUCCAUAGAGAUAUGUCGCUGGUAUUACGAUGUAACCACGCGCGCGCGUACACGUUUACAUAUCAUCGAUAUAUAAUAAUAAUAAUAUCUUUGUCGUUCGUUAAUGAUAUAAAAAUCGUCGUUUAUGUGUUAUAUAUUUAGCUAUACGCCAGUUAAUCCUCUUCGUGUUUCACUUCUUUUAUUUUUCUUUUUUUUUUUCUUUUUUAUUCUUCUUUUUCUUUUUUUUUUUUUUUCUUUCUUUCUUUCUUGUUUUAAUUAGGAAGCAAGCACAUACGUAUUUAUGUACAGAGUAGUAGUAUUCAUCAGGUUACUGUAAUACUUAUUACAAUAAUAUAAUGAGUAUACUUCGAGAGAGGCGUAUGUAAGAGAUAUCGAAUAAAAAUGACAUCGUUAUAAUCGGCAGAUUCUCAAAGAGGAAAAGUAGCCGUUCGUUCGUUCGUUCGUUCGUUCGUUCGUCAUUCGUCGUUCGUUAGGACAAAUCCAAUGUUCGUUUUCCUUUCAUCGUACAUGACGUUUCGCAAUACGAAAAUUUCUUUGUAGAAACUCGUCCAAGAGGAGGUACCGUCUCGAAGUACACCCACAUCGCCUUACGUCGAUGCUCACGUUUGACAAAAUAAAUACUGGGUUCGAUUCCUUUAAAAAAUAUAUAUUACAGUAUUGCACUUAAGGUAAUUGUACACGAUAAAACGCGUCAAAAAUAUAUAUAAUGAGUUCCUUUACUGAGGCACUAACGACAAGGAACACAGAAGUGUCAUGUUAGUGUUAAGCAUGCCGUUUAGUGCAUUUUCCCUUUGAGACUUUGCACUUGUGAAAGAGAUUCUAGCUAAUAGAGAUUAUCGAUUCUAUCUUUCAAAGAUUGGACUAAACGUUCGAACGAAGAUUGCAAGAUACAGGUAGGUACAUCAUCGAAAAAAGAUCGAGAUGAAAAAGCCUCGUUUCCGAUAUAAUUACAUACGUAGUUAUAUCGUAGAAUUUAUUUGAAAAUCGAUAAGCUAUAGCCGCGACGAAAAUUUCGAUCGUGAUUGCUAAUCGAGAUAUAGAAAAUAUUUACUUUCCUUUAUUUUUACGUUUACGAGCCUCUCUCGUUUGCACGAAAAUCGUGAAUGAGUCUACCGGUAUCUUGACGUUACGCAUGUACUUCUAUAUAGCACAUGUUUGUUUUCUUUUCUUUGUGUUUCUUUUGUUGUUGUUGUUUUACUUUACACACUCAUGUGUACGUCUCAAUUACGUAUGUAUAUAUCGGGUAAAUCGAUAAUUACGAUUCCGUAGACGUAGACAAUUUCUAAAUGUAAUUCGCUCGUUAAAAAAAGAAUAACUAGAAUAAUGCACCAUGUAUAUAUGCCCGUUGUUUCGAAGAAGUGCACAAAGAUUAGCUCAUUCUUUACGCUUCUUUUACAAUAAAACCGUCCAUUAAUAUUCGUAAAACACUUGGCACAUUGUUAUAAUAUUAUGUUCGAUGAACGAAUAAUGCUGCUUAUUACGCGAUAAUGACAAUGCCCAUUUGAGUAGAUAAAAUAUAUCAUUUAAUGUUCAAUGACAGGACACAGAAUGGUGUUCGAUAUCGUUUCCUUUUUGUUUUCCUUCUUAAUUUGCAAUUCUUUUUUGUUUUUUCCUUUCUUUCUUUUUACAAAGAUCGUUGCAUUAUCAUUAUCAUUGUUAGCGUCAUAAAUCGAUGAAAUAUAUGCCUCAAAUUUCUUGUAUAUAACGUUAGAAAGCUAUCGCGAAGAUGAUCGAUAGAGGAUAAGUUCGAUACAUAUUUUUCAGAAAGAUUGUAAGUGUAAUCUUUGGUAUUUAUGUACAUAGACAUAUACGUACAUCGUGAAAGGAGUUUUUAACUUUCGCGUGUAAUGUACUUAAAUGCCUCUUAUUUUAUUUAUCUUUCGUGACGUCGAAACAAAUUGAAAAUAUUAUGUCGCUUUAUCUAUAAUAAUAAUAAUAUACGAUGAAAAAUACAUGUAUACGAGAUUAUUAUUGUUAUUAUUAUUAUUAUUAUUAUUAUUAUUAUUAUUAUUAUUAUUUUUUCUUUUUUUUUUUCUUUUUUUUUUUUCAUCGAAGCACCAUUUUAAACAUAGUCGAGGAUUACGAGGAUUUAAAUAUAUGUUGAUAUGCAACAUAGUAGAUUCGAAGAAAUAUUGCGUUGUCGUAUGAUGGAUAUUAUUAGCGUUACGGCACAUGUUUAUUUCUAAGCAUCGAUAGAUUUAUUAGUUAUAUCUCUUGAAGAGGGAUUUCAUUCGUUUAACGAUAUACCAAUCAUAAGGAAAUCGAUAGAGAGAUAUUCGUACAUCCAGAGAUACACUUUGACUUUGAUGAUCCUUUAAAGAUAGUUAUAGAUUAUAAUAAUCGUUUGUUAUCGUAUUAAUAAACGAUAAAAUAUUGAAUUAAUUUGUGCUUCGUACUUAUUGAUAUUAUGGUCGUAGGUACUUGUAUUUACAUCAAAGAGCUUAUUAAAGUCUUGUUAGCACAAUCGUUUAAUUAGUAAUUUUGGAAUAGUGGAUGGAAUGGAAGUAUUGUCGAGUAAAAACUAGGACAUCAACUAUGGUAUCAUUGCGCAUAGUUCCAAUCUAAUAAACUUUUCCACUAUUCUUCAAUUGCAUUUAUAAAGUUUCGUUAGAAGCGUGCCGAUAAAGGAGCAUUUCAUAAAAUAUACUUUCUAUGUGAGUAUGUGUAGGUAUGUAUAUGGAUGUUCGUGCGAAUCGAUAUUUACAUAUACAUAUACGUUCUGUUGAAAUUAAAAUAGUCCAUGUAUAGCUUCGCGUUAAAAGUUACGUUAAAGUUCUAUAGUCAAAAAGAAUAGAAGAAUCAUGAUUUUUAUCUUCGUUUUCACGAAAAGGAAAAAGAAAAAGAACGUUUAGAUACGACGUAGUUACCUCUUACAUAGUUUUCUAUCAUGUAUAUAUUAUAUUAGAAUUUCAUAACUUGAAGCUUUCAAGCCAUGCUAUGCAUAAAGUUAUUGCGAUGUGCUUGUGAUUUUAAUUAUUUUAAUAUUAAAACUAUAUAGGAUGAUCGAUUAUUGAUCUAUAUUAUCUACCGCAAUUAUUUUCGUUCCUAGAAAAAAUUACAGAAAAAAAAAAAAAAAAAAAGAAAAAAAGAAAAAAGACAAAA